rnacentral:rRNA from 1 species
GAUGAACGCUGACAGAAUGCUUAACACAUGCAAGUCAACUUGAACUUCGGUUUGGGUGGCGGACGGGUGAGUAACGCGUAAAGAACUUGCCUCACAGAUAGGGACAACAUUUGGAAACGAAUGCUAAUACCUGAUAUUAUGAUUAUAUGGCAUCGUAUAAUUAUGAAAGCUAUAUGCGCUGUGAGAGAGCUUUGCGUCCCAUUAGCUAGUUGGAGAGGUAACGGCUCACCAAGGCGAUGAUGGGUAGCCGGCCUGAGAGGGUGAUCGGCCACAAGGGGACUGGGACACGGCCCUUACUCCUACGGGAGGCAGCAGUGGGGAAUAUUGGACAAUGGACCAAGAGUCUGAUCCAGCAAUUCUGUGUGCACGAUGAAGUUUUUCGGAAUGUAAAGUGCUUUCAGUUGGGAAGAAAAAAAUGACGGUACCAACAGAAGAAGUGACGGCUAAAUACGUG